rnacentral:rRNA from 1 species
UAACCGAAUAGGGGAGCCGAAGGGAAACCGAGUCUUAACUGGGCGUUAAGUUGCAGGGUAUAGACCCGAAACCCGGUGAUCUAGCCAUGGGCAGGUUGAAGGUUGGGUAACACUAACUGGAGGACCGAACCGACUAAUGUUGAAAAAUUAGCGGAUGACUUGUGGCUGGGGGUGAAAGGCCAAUCAAACCGGGAGAUAGCUGGUUCUCCCCGAAAGCUAUUUAGGUAGCGCCUCGUGAAUUCAUCUCCGGGGGUAGAGCACUGUUUCGGCAAGGGGGUCAUCCCGACUUACCAACCCGAUGCAAACUGCGAAUACCGGAGAAUGUUAUCACGGGAGACACACGGCGGGUGCUAACGUCCGUCGUGAAGAGGGAAACAACCCAGACCGCCAGCUAAGGUCCCAAAGUCAUGGUUAAGUGGGAAACGAUGUGGGAAGGCCCAGACAGCCAGGAUGUUGGCUUAGAAGCAGCCAUCAUUUAAAGAAAGCGUAAUAGCUCACUGGUCGAGUCGGCCUGCGCGGAAGAUGUAACGGGGCUAAACCAUGCACCGAAGCUGCGGCAGCGACGCUGAUGCGUUGUUGGGUAGGGGAGCGUUCUGUAAGCCUGUGAAGGUGUGCUGUGAGGCAUGCUGGAGGUAUCAGAAGUGCGAAUGCUGACAUAAGUAACGAUAAAGCGGGUGAAAAGCCCGCUCGCCGGAAGACCAAGGGUUCCUGUCCAACGUUAAUCGGGGCAGGGUGAGUCGACCCCUAAGGCGAGGCCGAAAGGCGUAGUCGAUGGGAAACAGGUUAAUAUUCCUGUACUUGGUGUUACUGCGAAGGGGGGACGGAGAAGGCUAUGUUGGCCGGGCGACGGUUGUCCCGGUUUAAGCGUGUAGGCUGGUUUUCCAGGCAAAUCCGGAAAAUCAAGGCUGAGGCGUGAUGACGAGGCACUACGGUGCUGAAGCAACAAAUGCCCUGCUUCCAGGAAAAGCCUCUAAGCAUCAGGUAACAUCAAAUCGUACCCCAAACCGACACAGGUGGUCAGGUAGAGAAUACCAAGGCGCUUGAGAGAACUCGGGUGAAGGAACUAGGCAAAAUGGUGCCGUAACUUCGGGAGAAGG